rnacentral:rRNA from 1 species
GACGGAGGGUGCUAGCGUUGUUCGGAAUGACUGGGCGUAAAGGGCGCGUAGGCGGCUCGUGAAGUCGGGUGUGAAAGCCCGGGGCUCAACCCCGGAACGGCAUCCGAUACUGGCGGGCUUGAGAACGGGAGAGGAGGGUGGAAUACCCAGUGUAGAGGUGAAAUUCGUAGAUAUUGGGUGGAACACCGGUGGCGAAAGCGGCUCUCUGGCCCGGAUCUGACGCUGAGGCGCGAAAGUGUGGGGAGCGAACAGG